GCAAGAUCCAGCUCACUCUCUCAUUCAUUAACAGCAACUUCAAAGCUAACAGAAGAUAAUGAUAUUUUUAAAAACACCUAACGUAGGAACAAAUAAUAGUGAUUUAUUUACAGUAUAUGAUCAUACAUUGCAUAAUUUUGCCACAAGGCCAAUGUACUCCAUUUCUGGCGUGUCCUAAACUAGCAACAUAAUCCCUGCUCUUAUGAGAUUAACCCACUUUUACUGCACAUAAGUGGGUUAAGCUUAUAAGAGCAGGCAAAAAUGGGGCACAUUAGUAUUGUGGUAGACUUAUGGAAUGUAUGAUCAUAUACGAUAAAUAAACCCCCAUUAUUUUUGCUGUGAGCUUUGAAGUUGCUGUUUACUGAAUAUAUACGUGUGUGUAUGCACGCAUAAUAAUUGAAAGCACUCAGAGGACUUCCAAAAAUGAGUCUUUACUAUUACAUGUCCAACAAAAUCAAUGUUUUGACCCUAUAUGGUCAUUAUCAAGACCAAUUAUCACAUGCAUAUACACAUGUAUAUAUGUAUGUGAGGUUCAUUUUUCAAUAACCAUACAGAAGAGAAAAUAAUUAUUACCCCAAAAAGUGUGUGUGUGUGUG